GUAAGGUUUAUGACCCCCCCCCCCAAAAAAAUACCUUUCUCCCUUCCCCUCUCUGACCCUACUGAAGGACUUGAAUAGCCUGUGUUAAAUAUAGAGAGUCUGGGAACAUCAAACAAAUGGGGAAAAGGAACCAUAUUUUGGUAAUAAAACCAGUUGGAAAUAUGCUUGGGAACGUAAUGAGUAUGCAUGUCAGUUCGGUUGUCAUCUGAGACAUUAUGACUGAUGACAGGACGACAUAAACUGUACCUGAGAAAGUAUACACCCUCUAGUUAUCAGAGUAACAUGGAAUUGUUAUGCAAUUGAAAUGUUUGAUAUUGAAAUUGUUUGUUAGGAGAUUAAAUGUAAUUUUAGCUUCCAAAUGAGAGAUUUGGGUUUUCAUAAGGAAAGUGCCCUGCUUGAUCAGUGGCCCACCCCUGUGAAGAGGAGGGGUUAUAAACGAUGAAACACAUCCUUCCCCCUCUCCACUAUAUAAGCCUUUGACAAAAAGAUAACCACGUGGUUCCAGUACGUGAGGUCUGCAGCCUCUACGUUAGAAGGACACACGUCAAGUACAGAACUAAGCCAACCUUGGCGUGAGCUUUGGUGGCGAAUGGUAUGAACUUUGAGCUUAUUCACUACAGAAGUGAUACUUCCUAGUCGUUGAGUUAGCAGCGGCCGCUGUAGACGGGGGCUAGGAAAGGACGGACGACGGAUCCAGUCUAACAAACAGACGAAGAUACCACCACGUAUCCAAUUUACCACCAGAGACAUUCUUCCGAGGACAGGAAGAUCUGUUGGCCAACCCGGCCAGCAUCUACGACCAAUCUACCGAAGCGCAGCUCAGAUUACUGCCCAGAUAUUCCAGUCUGGACGACCAGAUGACGGGUCCGCAACGGCGAUCCCAAUCCGGACAUCCGCUGCCGAGUCAUGGAACGGACUUCUUUAUUUGCAGAGACCCUACCCGGGUCGACCACCAGAGGGGGGACUGCAAUAGCAACCACCAACUGGACAUCUUCUGCCCAGCCUUGGAGCGGACUUCUUCAUUUGCAGACACCCUACCCGGGUCGACCGCCAGAUGGGGACCACAACGAUGAUCCACAACCAGGACAACCCACGUUCAUUUUUAUGUUGGUUUACAACAUGCAGUUUAAUCGCAAGAUUGAACCCAACAUGGGGGGACUGUCAUGACGUUGGCCUGUGGGUAAGGUUUAUGACCCCCCCCCCCCAUAAAUACCUUUCUCCCUUCCCCUCUCUGACCGUACUGAAGGACUUGAAUAGCCUGUGUUAAAUAUAGAGAUUCUGGGAACAUCAAACAAAUGGGGAAAAGGAACCAUAUUUUGGUAAUAAAACCAGUUGGAAAUAUGCUUGGGAACGUAAUGAGUAUGUAUGUCAGUUCGGUUGUCAUCUGAGACAUUAUGACUGAUGACAGGACGACAUAAACUGUACCUGAGAAAGUAUACAGCCUCUAGUUAUCAGAGUAACAUGGAAUUGUUAUGCAAUUGAAAUGUUUGAUAUUGAAAUUGUUUGUUAGGAGAUUAAAUGUAAUUUUAGCUUCCAAAUGAGAUUUUUGGGUUUUCAUAAGGAAAGUGCCCUGCUUGAUCAGUGGCCCACCCCUGUGAAGAGGAGGGGUUAUAAACGAUGAAACACAUCCUUCCCCCUCUCCACUAUAUAAGCCUUUGACGAAAAGAUAACCACGUGGUUCCAGUACGUGAGGUCUGCAGCCUCUACGUUAGAAGGACACACGUCAAGUACAGAACUAAGCCAACCUCGGCGUGAGCUUUGGUGGCGAAUGGUAUGAACUUUGAGCUUAUUCACUACAGAAGUGAUACUUCCUAGCUGUUGAGUUAGCAGGGGCCGCUGUAGAAGGGGGCUAGGAAAGGAUGGACGACGGAUCCAGUCUAACAAACAGACGAAGAUACCACCACGUAUCCAAUUUACCACCAGAGACAUUCUUCCGAGGACAGGAAGAUCUGUUGGCCAACCCGGCCAGCAUCUACGACCAAUCUACCGAAGCGCAGCUCAGAUCCUUCCCGGUUUUGACCGUACCUUGCCCCACCUCCACUGGAUUAUUGACCCCUGCCUGCCAUGACCCUGAGAUUACCUGCCGUUCCGGACCUUUUGCACCCUCUCUGGAUUACUGACCUCUGCCUGCCUUUGAUCUGUUGUUUGCCUGUCCCUGUACUAGAAAAACAACGUUUGUUUCUUUGACACUGUCUGCAUCUGGGUCAUACCUGAAAACUGGUAUGACCCAAUUGAGAUGGUUUGGGAUGAGUUGGACCGCAGAGUGAAGGAAAAGCAGCCAACAAGCACUCAGCAUAUGUGGGAACUCCUUCACGACUGUUGGAAAAGCAUCCCUCAUGGAGCUGGUUGAGCGAAUGCCAAGAGCAUGCAAAGCUGUCAUCUAGGCAAAUGGUGGCUACUUUGAAGAAUCUAAAAUUUAAAAUAUAUUUGAUUUGUUCAAUGUAAAAAAUAGUAAGAAUAAAG
rnacentral:lncRNA from 1 species